rnacentral:rRNA from 1 species
UUUAAGCCCUAUGCGAGUCGAGAGGUGCAAGACCUCGGCGCACUGCUCAGUAACACGUGGACAACCUACCCUGUGGAGGGGGAUAACCCCGGAAAACUGGGGAUAAUACCCCAUAGGUUAGGGAGGCUGGAAUGCCCCCUAGCUCAAAGGUCCGCCGCCACAGGAUGGGUCUGCGGCCGAUUAGGUUGUUGUUGGGGUAACGGCCCAACAAGCCUUUGAUCGGUACGGGUUGUGGGAGCAAGAGCCCGGAGAUGGAUUCUGAGACACGAAUCCAGGCCCUACGGGGCGCAGCAGGCGCGAAAACUUUACAAUGCGAGAAAUCGUGAUAAGGGAACCCCGAGUGCCCGUAAAUUCGGGCUGUCCGCCAGUGCAAAAAACUGGUGAAGAAAGAGCCGGGCAAGACCGGUGCCAGCCGCCGCGGUAAUACCGGCGGCUCGAGUGGUGGCCACUAUUACUGGGCUUAAAGCGUCCGUAGCUUGGUUGUUAAGUCUCCUGGGAAAUCCAUCGGCUCAACCGAUGGGCGUUCAGGAGAUACUGGCAACCUAGGGACCGGGAGAGGUGAGAGGUACUCCAGGGGUAGGAGUGAAAUCCUGUAAUCCUUGGGGGACCACCUGUGGCGAAGGCGUCUCACUAGAACGGCUCCGACAGUGAGGGACGAAAGCUGGGGGAGCAAACCGGAUUAGAUACCCGGGUAGUCCCAGCUGUAAACGAUGCGCGUUAGGUGUAUCGGUGACCACGAGUCACCGAGGUGCCGAAGAGAAAUCGUGAAACGUGCCGCCUGGGAAGUACGGUCGCAAGGCUGAAACUUAAAGGAAUUGGCGGGGGAGCACCACAACAGGUGGAGCCUGCGGUUUAAUCGGACUCAACGCCGGGAAGAUCACCGGAUAAGACAGCUGAAUGAUAGCCGGGUUGAAGACUCUGCUUGACUAGCUGAGAGGAGGUGCAUGGCCGUCGUCAGUCGUACUGAAGCCU